UGAUUUAUCUCAUUCUCUAUUCUGCCUUUUACGCCUCAAUUCUUAAGCUUGGCAAAAAUAUCAAAAUUCUCAUACUCAAAUACCGUUACAAAAUAUGAUUAGCAAUUCAUACGUAAUUCCUUCUCAAAUCUCUCACCAUGUGUCUGCAAAUCUCAUGCUCAAUCACCUGUUGUAGCAAUUGAUCAGCAGCAAAUCCUUCUAAAAUCCACCUUUUCCGCCAUCUGCAAAUCCUUCUCAAAACUCUCCCCAUCCAUCUGCAAAACCUUCUCAAAUCCCAUCUCCCACCGUCUGCAAAUCCUAAUCACAGCAAUUGAUCUCUAUCCAUCACACACACUACAGAUCUAUGGGUGCUGCAAACAAGACUCAGCCGCAACUGCACUCGGAUUCCAGUCGCCACCGCCGUCUUCACCGCGCCGGCCACCUCCCUUCCCCCGCAAGCCCUCCGAUCUGCAUCGCCGCCUCUUUCUUUCUUCAAUCAGCAGCUCCACCCCCCACCGCUCUCUCCGCCACUCCCGCAGCCUCAGCCGCUUCUCCCGCCCCAUUGCGCCGGAGCCGGAGGCCAAACGUGCCCAGGGGAAAAUUCGUCAACACCACGAGGGGCUCGACCUCGCCGGCACCAACCGCGAAUCGCCGAGCCCCUAGAUCCCCAAAGUCUCACCGCCUCUUUGUGAUUUCCGGCGACCACGGCAGCCAUGUCCGCCGAUCUGCCACCUCAUUCUUUUUCAGAUCUAUCUUUUUCAUUCUUGCUCAUGAUCACACAAUCCCCACCCCUUGCUAUCUCUCACUCGGCCAUGGAUUAGCCACCGCCGACUCCUUCUCUCUAUUAUAUAUAUAGAGAGAGAGAUAGAGAGAGCGAGAGCGAGGGAUGAAGGACGAAGCCGUGAGCUCCUCACGCGACCCGUUAUUGCCCCCGAGAUCUAUGUCUCCUCCUCCGAGCCUCACUCACGCUGCCAGUUCUGCUGGGGCAUCAUCUCCUGCUGUUCCCACAAAUGCUGGCAGCUCAGAUGGGCUUGGGCAAGUCCAGAAUUCGAAAGGAGGGUGGUCUCUUUCCCGGAUUGGUUCACAGCCCAUGCACACAUCAUUGAGCACCAGUGCUGGUGGUUCAGCCCUUGGAUCAUCACAGCCUUCUUGCAGGCCCUGGGAAAGGGGUGAUUUAUUGAGGCGUCUCUCAACAUUCAAACCAGCAAAUUGGUUUGGAAAGCCCAAGGAGUAACAUAGAUGAGUAGUGGAGAUCUGGGAGCAUCUGCCUUCCCUGACAGGGGGAGCAUAUUUACGUGGACUUGCAUAAUUUAAGGCGGCAAAGGAACCAUGACGGAUAAGUGGUGUUCAGCAUAUGAUUGCAGAACGAUUCUCUUGUCCAUCAAGAGCCUAUUAGGAGGUCAGAUGGCUCUGUUGUCUCACUUUUUCUGCUGGUUCUUUUGUAUGUAUUUAUGAGCUAUUAGGAGCUCUUUUGUCUCACUAUUAGGAGCUCUUUUGUAUGUAUUUAUGUAAUAGUUUUUCUUAUGCUCGCGUUGUAAUGAGCAGAACCCAAUACUCAGAGCCCUCUCAAUGUGUCUGCUGCUUUGCUCUGGAAGAACCAGGAAGGUUCAUAGAUUUUGCAUUUUGUUCUUGAACUCGAUCCAAUGGUGCGUAGUAUUGAAAAACGUGGUUUUUACAAAUUCUGAUUGCAGAGUACAGUAAAGCAGUGCGCAAAUAUUACAUGGAUACUGGAUAUUCAUUAGAUAACUGAUCAAAACAGCAAUAAUAAACUUCAAGAAGGAAGACCAUCUGAUCUAUCUAUGGAAAUAUUAGGCUUGGACAGUUAUUUCUUUCACUGAAAAAAUUAAGCCGUGUUAUGUUCAUCAAAAUCUAAUCAAACCAUGAUUAUGUUUGUGGUAUCUGGUCAUGUUUGAAUUUGUUUAAAAAGUUAAGUAGCUUCUAGCUUUAUAACUUCAUCUAAAAUUUCUUGUAGCACUUUUAUUAUAGACCUUAUAUUUUUAU